rnacentral:rRNA from 1 species
AGGACGAACGCUGGCGGCGUGCUUAACACAUGCAAGUGGAGCGACGAACCGGGGCUUGCCCCGGGGCAGAGCCGCGAACGGGUGAGUAACACGUGGGUUACCUGCCUUGAUGACCGGGACAACCCGAGGAAACUCGGGCUAAUACCGGAUGUGCCCGCAAGGGGAAAGGAAGCUUCGGCCUCCGCAUCAAGAUGGGCCCGCGGCCCAUUAGCUUGUUGGUGAGGUAACGGCUCACCAAGGCUUCGAUGGGUAGCUGGUCUGAGAGGACGAUCAGCCACACUGGGACUGAGACACGGCCCAGACUCCUACGGGAGGCAGCAGUGGGGAAUAUUGGACAAUGCCCGCAAGGGUGAUCCAGCCAUGCCGCGUGCAGGAAGACGGCCCUAUGGGUUGUAAACUGCUUUUACACCGGACGAAACCCCCUACGUGUAGGGGGCUGAUAGUAUGGUGAGAAUAAGCAUCGGCUAACUUCGUGCCAGCAGCCGCGGU